rnacentral:rRNA from 1 species
AUGGCUAGGUGUAGAAACAUACAUGUCUACAUUUAUUGCUUUGUAGACUCAUUUUGUAUUGGAAAGCGCUAUAUAAUGGUAACAUAUUGUGUUAGUCUAUUUGUCUCUCUCUUCUUUAAUUACAUGACGCAUCAUCUUUUUUGUUUAUGUGGCAUUUAUGUUACUACUUAUGUUAGUCCCACUAUGACUAGCCUCAAGGUAGGCGCUCCCGGAAAUCAAUCUAAAGUCAGGCAAAUCGCUCCAACCAAGCGGUGCCAGGUCCCAAUAGCGGUGAGUCGUUGUCGUCCUGCUUGUGCUUUGCUUCGCUCGUCGUGGCGACAGGCACCAAUAGCAGCGACGACAGGAACAAGGCACGGGAAAAGAAGACCCACCAGUCCAUCGGGACGACGCGGCUGA